AUGAAUAAUGUGUUUGUGUCUGCAGGAUGCAGCGGUCAGGUGACUGUGACUCAACCUCCAGUCAAGACAUUUACUCCAGGAUCCACUGUCACUCUGACCUGUAAGACCAGCCCGAAUGUGGCUUUGUGUAGUGGUGGUCCAUGUAUGUCCUGGUAUCAACAGACAUCUGGACAGACUCCAAAGCUCCUCAUAAGACAAGUGAGCACACGGCAUUCAGGAACUCCAGCUCGAUUUAGUGGCAGUGGAAGAACCUCCGACUUCACUUUGACCAUUAGUGGAGUUCAGGCUGAAGAUGCAGCAGUUUAUUACUGUCAGAGUAUUCAUGUAAUAAACAGUGCUGAUGUGUUGACACAGUGAUU